UUAAGUUCAGCGGGUAUUCCUACCUGAUCCGAGGUCAACCUUAGAAAAAUGGGGGGUUGAGACCGGGCCGGCCAACCACUUCAAUGCGUGCUGUGAAAAGCUCGUUGCAUCUAGGGUCAAACACGACACCGUCAUUAUCUUUCGGACCUGUCGACUCGCGACGACAAGGGGUCCAACGACAAGCCAGGCUUGAUGGUUGA
rnacentral:misc_RNA from 1 species